UGCUCAAGACUAACUGGUGUAGG
rnacentral:piRNA from 1 species